UACGUAGGGUGCAGGCGUUAAUCGGAAUUACUGGGCGUAAAGCGCGCGCAGGCGGUCUUCCAAGUCAGUGGUGAAAGCCCGGAGCUCAACUCCGGAACUGCCAUUGAAACUGUGAGACUGGAGUACGAGAGAGGUGAGUGGAAUUCCCAGUGUAGAGGUGAAAUUCGUAGAUAUUGGGAAGAACACCGGUGGCGAAGGCGGCUCACUGGCUCGUAACUGACGCUCAGGCGCGACAGCGUGGGGAUCAAACAGG
rnacentral:rRNA from 1 species